AUUCCACGGCACCACCUCGGCCCAGCUUCCCCAUCUGCGCCCAGGCAGAAGCUGCCCCGAGAGACCAGCAGCAACGGUCUGGAAGAUGGGGCUGCAGGGAACGUGGGAGAGGGAGGAUUGGGCACCCCACCUCCGGGUCUCCGCAGGCUCUCCUAAGUCUUGUUUUUAAAAGAAACAAAACUCGGCCGCGCGCGGUGGCUCACGCCUAUAAUCCCAGCACUUGGGGAGGCCGAGGCCGGUGGAUCACCUGAGGUCGAGGGUUCGAGACCAGCCUGGCCAACAAGUUGAAACCCCGUCUCUACUAAAAAUACAAAAAUUAGCUGGAUGUGGUGACGCGCCUGUAAUCCCAGCUACUCAGGAGGCUGAGGCAGGAGAAUCGCUUGAACCCGGGAGGCGGAGGUUGCAGUGAGCGGAGAUCGUUCCAUUGCACUCCAGCCUGGGCGACAGACCGAGACUUAAAGGAAAGAAAAAAAAGAAAAAGAAAAGGAAACAAAACUCGUCCGCGCUCUGCGCCAGGGACACCAGCUCAGCUGAGCGCACGGAGACUGUAGGCAGGACCUCCCUACCCCUCAGGUCAAACAAAGACCCAAGGCCUCUAGUGAGCAAUAGCACCACGGACCGUUUGGGACACCUCCAACUCGAGUUCCCGGAUUCACAGUCCGGGACUGUGCCGCUCCAGUCCCGGGGAGCAUAUAGCCAAUUCCCAGGUCAGAACAGACCAGCUUCUUAAGAACCGAGUGAAGACUCAGUGCUGGCAUUUGUCUCCGUAGGUACUGGCCGACCUGCAACCAGAAGGGUUUCUAGCCAGCUCAGGGCCCUCCGAACAAAGCAGCGCUCGGUGCCGGACCUGCAGCUCUCCCCACCCGGCAGCAGCGCCCUCAGCACGCCCGGGAACCCCCGACCCCUCUGAGCCCGGGGUACUGCGCCCGGGUCUCCACGCCCAGAGAUGCUCCCCGGUCUCCACCGUCGGGCAAGCCCCAAGCGCAGCAGCGCAGAGUCCUGGGGUCACCAGAGCUCGUACUAGGACAUCGUCUCCCCAUUUAACACCGCCUCCGGUCCCAUCUGAGUUGCAAGUGGUGGGGAUGUGGGGCUCCGGAUCAAAGUCCCCGAAACCGAGCACUUCCCGAAGCCUCCUUGGCCUCGAAACAAAACAAUAACGCCCAACUCCAUCAUAUUCCAGAACUCCCACCACCUGCAUACAGACAUUCAGCUGCACAAGCCCCCUCCAUGCUACAGUCAACAGGAUCUCCAGGCCACGGCUCAAGCCCAGGGCGUCUGGCUUUGCUGUUUACAGAUUCUUUCUCCAUUUCAAGAUGAUAGAAAUAUUCAACUUCAAAUUUCUUCAAGCACUUGCAUAAAUUAUUAAGCAUUUGACUUUAUUGGUACCAGUCCCCUCCACCCAAGUCCAAUGAGGGGAGACUCAGAAAUGGGUUAAAGGUCACGGCAGUCAGCUGUACUUACUGUUUGAUAAUGAAAACUUUUUUCAAAAAGUGUUUCCUUGUCAGCAGGGAUGAUUUUAUAUAACCACAUCAAAACAUUUAGUAAAAUAUUCUGCUGAGAUUUAAAGUAAAAAGUCAGAGAUACAGCAGGGGUAGUAGGGACAUUGUUCUAAUUCUUUGUGGGAAGGAUGGGGUGGGGGUGAGGAGAGACUCCCUGGUGAAACUUUGCUAAGAAUUAGAUCUCUUUAGGCCAGGCGCGGUGGUUCAGGCCUAUAAUCUCAGCGCUUUGGGAGGCCGAGGCGGACGGAUCACUUGAGGUCAGGAGCUUGAGACCAGCUUGGUGAACAUGGCAAAACAUGGUCUGUAAUAAAAGUACAAAAAUUAGCUGGGCAUGGUGGUGCAUGCCUGUAGUCCCAAUUACUUGGGAGGCUGAGGCUGGAGAAUCACUUGAACCCAGGAGGCGGAGCUUGCAGUGAGCCAAGAUCACACCACUGCACUCCAGCCUGGGGGACAGAGCGAGACACCAUCUCAAAAAAAAAAAGAGUUACAACUAAUUACAGAUUUUGCCUUUGCUACAAGUGUAGCUCAAAUCUCCCCCUAAACAGUUGCUGGCAUAGUCAAGUAUACCUGGGUCAGUACCUCAGAGCCCUUGACUUGAUUUUUUCUCCUUCUUUAUCAUGAGGCUUACCAUCUCCUGCUGCAAUGAAUUAAUAUCCAAGCAUUUGCUUUGUAGAACAUCCUUACAGACACCUUUCUCACGUGUAGUGUUUCCACACUGGGUUCUUUUCCUUCGUGUUGUUUACUCUCUUGCAUAUUAAUUUUUUCUCUUUUCUGUAGCUUGCUUCUCUGGCUCUCCUCAACACCAAUCCCAGUCAUGGAGCCUCUUCCUCUGCCUUUAUCCUGAAGAUCACUUUUAGGGAAGCCUCUGCUUAGUUCACGCCAUUCUCCUGCCUCAGCCUCCUGAGUAGCUGGGACUACAGGGGCCUGCCACCACGCCCGGCUAAUUUUUUGUAUUUUUUUUUUUUUAGUAGAGACAGAGUUUCACCGUGUUAGCCAGGAUGGUCUUGAUCUCCUGACCUCGUGAUCGGCCCACCUCUGCCUCCUAAAGUGCUGGGAUUACAGGUGU
rnacentral:lncRNA from 10 species